GGACUACUCGGGUAUCUAAUCCCGUUUGCUCCCCUGGCUUUCGUGCCUCAGCGUCAGGAAAUGUCCAGAGACUCGCCUUCGCCACUGGUGUUCCACUUGAUAUCUACGCAUUUCACUGCUACACCAAGUAUUCCAGUCUCCCCUCCAUUCCUCGAGCCAGGCAGUUUCCAACGCAGUUUCCGGGUUAGGCCCGGAGAUUUCACGUCAGACUUACCCGACCGCCUACGCACCCUUUACGCCCAGUGAAUCCGAACAACGCUUGGGACCUCUGUAUUACCGCGGCGGCUGGCAC
rnacentral:rRNA from 2 species